GCUCCAUCUAUGAAACCCAGGAACUUCUCUUCUGGACGCCUUCACCCCUCUCACACCUCAAGCCUCACGCCUCACGCCUCUGCCUCAUGUCGAACACCGACCUCAAUCCGCCGGCCGAUGUCCGUCCUCCUCCAUCUUCACCGUCGGCUGGCCAAUUGCCACAGCCAAUGGCGGUGGCAAGGGGGCGCAGGGGUGUGCGGAAGCACCCCCUUGCUCCCAGAAAUUCCACUAGUAUACGGCCUCCGUCAAGAAUCUUCUUCCUUUCCCCUCCGAUUGUUCCCUCCCCCGUCGAUCUCGAGGCCGAAGCUCCCAUCGAACCCUACCUCUAUUGCAGACUUCGAUGAGACGGAGGAAGAUGGCGACAAUGGAGAUGCGGCCGACGAGUAGGAUGGCGGAGGCAGAAGGGGUGAAGUCGCGAAGAGAAAGUGAAUAUCAAAUGGGAGGUUUGUAAGGGUGGUAAGACGUUCCAAGCUGCCGAUUACAUCCGUGCCUAGAUAAUUAGAAGGCCAUCAAGAAGCUCAAGUCGCGGCAACACAUGGAGCACUGGGAGCGGCACUGCCCCAAGCCCAGCCUCAGGUGUCAUGUGCCGCUGCCGUGGAGGUACAAGGUACCGGUUCCAUGGCCCAAGAGCAAAACAUGGUGAGAUUGAUUCUUGGGUAAGCCGGCUAUGGUUUUCUUUUUCCCCAAUUCUCUCAUUGAUCAUCGCAAUGUAUCUGAUUAACCCUGAUGAUUGCCCUAUCUAGUUUCUCCUUGCUUCUGAUUCCCGUGUUGACUCAUACUGAUCUGUAAAGACGGAACCUGUUACCACUUUGAGAAGAAUAUGGUAUGAUAAGUUAGCAUUUGUCGAGUAUGAUUAUCUCACGUUGUUUCCUUGUAGAAACGUUGUGUGUACCUCAGUAGUUGAUUUCUUAUUUUCCUUGUUGCUGCUCUUCAGCAAUGGUACAUUAAUAAUCACCUUGCUCUCUAUAAAUUUUUCAUUCAUUUUUUAAAAUAUUUAGCCUUGAAUUUUGAACUUAUUGGAAACAUUUUUGGACUUCGUGUAAUCGUGUUGACUCAGUAUUUUAGAGUUCACAUACAUGGAACUUUGAUAAGUGUGAAAAUAGAAGGGAAAAUGGUGGAAGUAUUCUGCUUGCUAUCAGAUAAUAUUUUGGUUGCUUGGAGCUUAACCUGUCAUUUAUUUGGUCUUCCUAAAUUCUCUAUUUUGCUGUCAACAGAUUUGGCAUGAUAAUGCUCCUCAUACCAAACUCGUUGAAUAUAAGAAAGACCAAAAUUGGGUACGGAGUUCAGGUGAUUACCUAGUUUUCCCUGGAGGUGAAACUCAAUUGAAAGAUGGUGUUUCUAAAUACAUCGAGUUCAUCGAGCAGGUAAGUACGUAUUCUCAACUAUUUUAAUAUUCUGUUGCUGAUUUCAGCCAAAGAAAGUGUUGGACGUGCCUAUACUAGAGGCCAAGAUUAUAUUCCUUCUAUAAUUAUGGGUUUCUCGUUUGGUUUUUUUUUUUUCUAUAGAGUCGUUGGGAUUUUACUUUUAAUUUGUUCAAUUAGCGCUUAUGACCUAAGGCUUACCUUUUGAUAUUAUUGAGUAAUGAACAUGAAUGCAUGGCCUGUUCCAUUCUGUUUCUGUUACUUUCUUUAAAAUGUACAAUGCUCUUUAUCAAUUCCAAAUUUUUGAUAAAUUUUCAUUGCAAGAUUAUCCAUUGUUGAUUAUCCAUUUUAAGGGAUAGGAAUGCUAUCAGUAUGUCUUUUGCGCCAAAAGAUGAGCACGAAGCUCAAAUACAAUUUGCAUUAGAGCGUGGUAUUCCAGCCUUUUUAUCAAUAAUUGGAACUCAGAAGUUAUCAUUUCCUGACAAUGUAUUUAAUUUGAUUCACUGUUCACGCUGUAAAGUCUACUGAGAUGCAAAUGAUGGGAAGCCACUGUUGAAGCUCAAUCGGAUUCUUAGAGUUGAGGAUUCUUUGUUUGGCCCCAACACCUGUUCAACACCUGUUUACCGCAAUAAUGAAAAUGUAUGUGUAAAAAUACGAGCUAACUCAAAAAUCUUAUGCUUCAAGGCACACAAACUAGUAGUGAGGAACAAUAGCAUGCAGCUCAUCUUGGUGAUUGAAAUUGAUUGGUAUUCUCUAAAUUUUUUUUCUUAUUUUAUUGUAAUAUUAUUGAAUAUGUUGUUACAAUGUUAGACAAUUAUUGUUAGACAAUCAUUGUAUAUUUAUCAUUGAUAUCUUAAUUGCCGCUUAUUCUAUACACGGCUGUAAUUCUUAAAAGAUAU